UGCUGGGCGGAUGCUUACACAUGCAGUCGAGCGGCAGCAUGCCCUUCGGGGUGAUGGCGAGCGGCGGACGGGUGAGUAAUACAUAGGAAUCUGCCCUAGAGUGGGGGAUAGCCCGGGGAAACUCGGAUUAAUACCGCAUAAUCUCUACGGAGCAAAGUGGGGGAUCUUCGGACCUCACGCUUUAGGAUGAGCCUAUGGCCGAUUAGCUUGUUGGUGAGGUAACGGCUCACCAAGGCCACGAUCGGUAGCUGGUUUGAGAGGAUGAUCAGCCACACUGGGACUGAGACACGGCCCAGACUCCUACGGGAGGCAGCAGUGGGGAAUAUUGGACAAUGGGCGAAAGCCUGAUCCAGCAAUUCCGCGUGUGUGAAGAAGGCCUUAGGGUUGUAAAGCACUUUAAUCAGGGAAGAAAAAGCUUUGGCUAAUAUCCAAAGCCUUGACGGUACCUGAAGAAUAAGCACCGGCAAACUCUGUGCCAGCAGCCGCGGUAAUACAGAGGGUGCGAGCGUUAAUCGGAUUUACUGGGCGUAAAGCGUGCGUAGGAGGCUUGUUAAGUCGGUUGUGAAAUCCCCGGGCUCAACCUGGGAACUGCAGUCGAUACUGGCAAGCUAGAGUUCGGUAGAGGGUGGUGGAAUUUCCGGUGUAGCGGUGAAAUGCGUAGAGAUCGGAAGGAACACCAAUGGCGAAGGCAACCACCUGGGCCUGAACUG
rnacentral:rRNA from 1 species